GCUUGUCUCAAAGAUUAAGCCAUGCAUGUCUAAGUGUAAAUAAGUCUAUACUGUGAAACUGCGAAUGGCUCAUUAAAUCAGUUAUCGUUUAUUUGAUGAUCUCUUACUACUUGGAUAACCGUAGUAAUUCUAGAGCUAAUACAUGCACAAAAUCCCGACUUACGAAGGGAUGUAUUUAUUAGACUUAAGCCAAUAUUCCUUGUGUCUAUUGCGAUGAUUCAUAAUAACUGAUCGAAUCUCAAAUUUGAGAUAAAUCAUUCAAGUUUCUGCCCUAUCAGCUUUCGAUGGUAGUGUAUUGGACUACCAUGGCAGUAACGGGUAACGAAGAAUUAGGGUUCGAUUUCGGAGAGGGAGCAUGAGAAACGGCUACCACAUCUAAGGAAGGCAGCAGG
rnacentral:rRNA from 1 species